rnacentral:rRNA from 1 species
GACGAACGCUGGCGGCGUGCUUAACACAUGCAAGUCGAACGAAGAGCGAUGGAAGCUUGCUUCUAUCAAUCUUAGUGGCGAACGGGUGAGUAACGCGUAAUCAACCUGCCCUUCAGAGGGGGACAACAGUUGGAAACGACUGCUAAUACCGCAUACGAUCUGACCUCGGCAUCGAGGAUAGAUGAAAGGUGGCCUCUAUUUAUAAGCUAUCACUGAAGGAGGGGAUUGCGUCUGAUUAGCUAGUUGGAGGGGUAACGGCCCACCAAGGCGAUGAUCAGUAGCCGGUCUGAGAGGAUGAACGGCCACAUUGGGACUGAGACACGGCCCAGACUCCUACGGGAGGCAGCAGUGGGGAAUCUUCCGCAAUGGACGAAAGUUUGACGGAGCAACGCCGCGUGAGUGAUGACGGCCUUCGGGUUGUAAAGCUCUGUUAAUCGGGACGAAAGGCCUUCUUGCGAAUAGUUAGAAGGA